GACGAACGCUGGCGGCGUGCUUAACACAUGCAAGUCGAGCGGUAAGGCCCUUUCGGGGUACGACGAGCGGCGAACGGGUGAGUAACACGUGGGUGACCUGCCCUCAGCUCUGGGAGUAAGCCUGGGAAACCGGGGUCUAAUACUGGAUAUGACUCCAUGACGCAUGUUGUGGGGUGGAAAGCCUUGUGCGGCUGAGGAUGGGCCCGCGGCCUAUCAGCUUGUUGG
rnacentral:rRNA from 1 species